GACGAACGCUGGCGGCGUGCUUAACACAUGCAAGUCGAACGGUUAUUCGCCUUCCUUUUUUGUGGGUGUGGUUGAGUGGCGAACGGGUGAGUAACACGUGAGUAACCUGCCCCCUUCUUCUGGAUAACCGCUUGAACGUGUGGCUAAUACGUGAUAUUCUGGGUCUGUCUCAUGAUGGUUCUGGGAAAGAUAUUGUUUCUGUGGGGGAUGGGCUCGCGGCCUAUCUGCUUGUUGGUGGGGUGAUGGUCUACCAAGGCGGUGACGAGUCGACGGCCUGGGAGGGUCGACGGUCAUAGGAGGAAGAAGACACCGAGAAGACUACGAGAGGAGGCAGUAGUGAAGAAUAUUGAACAAACGGAGGAAGGCUGAAGCAGCGACGCCGCGUGAGAGAAGGAGGCCGGCGGGUAGUGAACUGCUUUCGCAGGUGAAGCAGGACGGCAGCGAUUGUGGGUGGGUUGACGGUAGCUGGAUAAGAAGCGACGGCUAACUACGUG
rnacentral:rRNA from 1 species